AUUGAACGCUGGCGGCAGGCCUAACACAUGCAAGUCGAGCGGAUCUGCGAACGGGUGAGUAAUGCCUAGGAAUCUGCCCGUUAGUGGGGUAUAACGUCCGGAAACGGGCGCUAAUACCGCAUACUAUCAGAUGAGCCUCGGUCGGAUUAGCUAGUUGGUGGGGUAAAGGCUUACCAAGGCGACGAUCCGUAACUGGUCUGAGAGGGUGAUCAGUCACACGGGAACUGAGACACGGUCCAGACUCCUACGGGAGGCAGCAGUAGGGAAUAUUGGACAAUGGGCGAAAGCCUGAUCGAGCCAUGCCGCGUGAGUGAAGAAGGUCUGCGGAUUGUAAAGCACUGUAAGUUGGGAAGCGUUACCAAAAGAGUAAGCACCGGCUAACUUCGUGCCAGCAGCCGCGGUAAUUC
rnacentral:rRNA from 1 species